rnacentral:rRNA from 1 species
UCACGGUCGGCGAGCGGUUGAGUUUUCUCCCGCACAUCACGGGCUUGCGUGAUAAGCUGACCGGAGUCGUAGGGGCAUUGUCGCGCGUACUGCGGGUCGACUGGGGACUCAGUCCCCGCGCAAAGCGGACAAUAUAUGCCGGACUCAUGGUGCCCUGUGCACUAUUUGGUGCCUCGGUUUGGUCUGUCGUGACGACGACGCAAGUGGUUGCCAGGAGGCAUCUGCUUGCGUGCCAAAGGAUCGUCCUGAUUGGAUGCCUACCGGUAUGCCGAACAGUGUCCACCAUGGCGCUGCAAGUACUAGCUGGAGCCCCCCCGUUUGAUCUGGUUGCCAGACGCCUGGCAAUCAGCUUCAAACUAAAGCGUGACUACCCGCUGGAGGAGAGCGAUUGGCUGUACGGCGAAGAUUUGGCAAAUCUUAGCUGGAAGCAGAAGAUGGCGCGACUAGACGAAGACCUGUUGUGCGAGUGGCAACGCAGAUGGGAUGAUGGUGACUCCCCAGGACGGGUGACGCACCGCUUCAUCCCGAACGCAGGCUUCGUCUACAGCGAACGAAGGUUUGGCUUCACGCUGCGCGCUGGGUUCCUGCUGACGGGCCACGGAUCGCUCAAUGCAUUUCUGCAUGGAAGAAGCCUUAGCGACACGCCAGCAUGUAUAUGCGGCGCAGAACGCGAGGAUUGGCAGCACUUCCUAUGUGCUUGUCCACUCUAUACAGACUUGCGAGACCUCGAUGGACUUGGAGUGCAGUACACGGAUGGCGACUGGACCUUCUCCGAUGUGACGGCUUCUCAGGAGAGAAUGCGGACUCUCGACAGGUUCGCCGGACUGGCGUUCUCCAGGCGACAACAGCUGCUGAAUGCGCAAGCGGCGCACGGGCUGGGUGGAUUCCCUAUCCAGGCCGGUCGGGGCUAAAAGGGAGGAUCGAGCUGAGUCCUUAAGAUCGGUACCACGGGUUGUGCAGUUCCAAGGCUGCACAUUGAGGUCGGCCCCCUAGUGGGAGUAUCGUGGUGGCUGUGGUUGAUACCCAAACGUUACGCGGGGAGAGCCGCUAGGCUCCUCGUGGAGUUGCGCUCUCAACCGGGUGCCGAGACCCAUAGAUCGGAAGACGUGUUAGAUACACCUCGCCCCUCACCAAGGGGGAUUGUAUGCCCGACCAGGAUACUUUCAAUUGGUACCAGAAGAGUCGCUAUGUACAUAGCUAUAGCUUCUUUUUAGGGGCGCUAACUGGCGCAUUGUACCAGGUUCCUGCGUAUGUAGCGGUGGUGCGUGAUGGCGUGAUAUAUGUAAAUAUAUCGCACUAAUCGAGGCUAAGCUGCAAAUAAACAUUAGACGCCGUGGUUGAAAUCCCUCCCUGAGGAACCGCCACGUAAAAUAAAGCUGAGAGAUCAGAUUCAUUCUGUCCCUAUCUACUUUGGGGCCACCAACCCGUGACUGUUUUGGAGUCAAAAUUGGUAGUGUCCUUCGUGGCACGAAGCCUGACCGGAGGCUUUAUUCUGGUACCACGGGAGCCAGGGCCCGCGGAACUCGUUUCCGUCCUGGCUAUUGGUUGCGGCCCCUUGGGGAGCUUCGUGGUGGUUGUGGUUAACACUCAAGCGAGUAGACGUGGAGUUGCGUUAUACAACCUGGUGCUGUGACCCACAGAUCAGCAGAGGUUUAGAUAGCCUCGCUCCACACCAGGGAGGAAGACAUGACCAAAACAGAUUGUCUUCAACUGGUACCGGAUGAACCGGGGCGCUGAUUGACGCUUAAAUUAAUCCUGUGCUUGGCACCGUGAGAUAAAGCCAAUACGGCAGGUGUUCACGUAAAACACAUUGACUUUAAUGUCCCUAUCUACUAUCUAGCGAAACCACAGCCAAGGGAACGGGCUUGGAAUAAUUAGCGGGGAAAGAAGACCCUUUUGAGCUUGACUCUAAUCUGGCAGUGUAAGGAGACAUAAGAGGUGUAGCAUAAGUGGGAGAUAUUAGAUUUCGGUUUGGUAUCGACAAUGAAAUACCACUACUCUUAUUGUUUCCUUACUUACUUGAUUAAAUGGAACGUGUAUCAUUUCCUAGCCAUUAUACGGAUAUAUUUAUUAUAUCUUAUGGUAUUGGGUUUUGAUGCAAGCUUCUUGAUCAAAGUAUCACGAGUUUGUUAUAUAAUCGCAAACAAAUUCUUUAAUGAGAAAAUGCAUUUAUGUAUUUUCAAUUUGAAAAUUUGGUAUAACUCCAAUUACUCAGGUAUGAUCCAAUUCAAGGACAUUGCCAGGUAGGGAGUUUGACUGGGGCGGUACAUCUCUCAAAUAAUAACGGAGGUGUCCCAAGGCCAGCUCAGUGCGGACAGAAACCACACAUAGAGCAAAAGGGCAAAUGCUGACUUGAUCUCGGUGUUCAGUACACACAGGGACAGCAAAAGCUCGGCCUAUCGAUCCUUUUGGUUUAAAGAGUUUUUAACAAGAGGUGUCAGAAAAGUUACCAUAGGGAUAACUGGCUUGUGGCGGCCAAGCGUUCAUAGCGACGUCGCUUUUUGAUCCUUCGGUGUCGGCUCUUCCUAUCAUUGUGAAGCAAAAUUCACCAAGCGUUGGAUUGUUCACCCAUGCAAGGGAACGUGAGCUGGGUUUAGACCGUCGUGAGACAGGUUAGUUUUACCCUACUAAUGACAAAACGUUGUUGCGACAGCAUUCCUGCGUAGUACGAGAGGAACCGCAGGUACGGACCAAUGGCACAAUACUUGUUCGAGCGAACAGUGGUAUGACGCUACGUCCGUUGGAUUAUGCCUGAACGCCUCUAAGGUCGUAUCCGUGCUGGACUGCAAUGAUAAAUAAGGGGCAAUUUGCAUUGUAUGGCUUCUAAACCAUUAAAGUUUAUAAUUUAUUUUAUAAACGACAAUGGAUGUGAUGCCAAUGUAAUUUGUAACAUAGUAAAUUGGGAGGAUCAUCGAUCACCUGAUGCCGCGCUAGUUGCAUAUAAAAACAUUAUUUAAUACAAUGACAAAGCC